GUCUGUACAGGUCCAGGAGUGAGUACUCGUAACACAAGGGGAGUUAUUAUGUAGGUCUCUACAGGUCCAGGAGUGAGUACUCGUAACAAAAGGGGAGUUAUUAUGUAGGUCUAUGGUUUCUCUACUUUUGUUGGCGUAGAUAAAGUCUAUAAAAGGUAGAGAUGUACGGUCUCCCCUGAACCCAUUCUUUCUCUCUCUGCUUUUAAAAAAUAUGAUCAAUGGAACUGUCUACAGCUCACAUUCAUGGAGGUACACACCGGUAACAACUCUUAACAUGUAUUCAGCUGAAUUAGCUCAUGUGUUUUAUUUUUAUUCAUUUUAAGUGUCGCACUAGGGCAUUUCAGACCUUUUUUAAGUGAAGAAUGUCUUCUUUUUUUUACGAUUUGUGUUUUGCUUUUCAUUUAUUGUUGUGUAUAAUGUUUAGUUUAAUGUGUAUGUUGUAUUUUGAUGUGCUGUCAAAAUAAAGGUGAAAUAAAAAUAAUUUGGCAGUCUUGGGGAUUGCAGCCAGAAUAGGGUGACGUGGGAGAGAUAAAAAAAAAAAAAAUUGUUAUGCCUCAUUUUAAUGACCAUGUUUGAUCACAACAAGGAGGUACGCAGCGAGUCCGAUUGCGAGUGACGAUGUUGAUUUUAUUCAACGCUUUAGCCUUACGGCUGCUUUCAUCAUGCCACAUUCACACGCAGAAUUAUGAAGCGGACAUUCUGGACUUGCUAAUUGGUUGGAACGCGGCAUGUGUAGAACUACAACCAGUUAACAGGUAGGACAUUUCCAGAGACCGACUAACCACGUGAACAUUGCAUUAGUUUUAGCAGACGCACCUCUGGAAUAGUGUUUUAGCUUGAAUUUCAAUGGGUCACUAAUGAGGGGGGUUCGAUUCAUUUCAAUGGGUCACUAAUGAGGGGGGUUCGAUUCAUUUCAAUGGGUCACCAAAUGAUAGGGUUCGAUUCAUUUCAAUGGGUCACUAAUGAGGGGGGUUCGAUUCAUUUCAAUGGGUCACCAAUGAUGGGGGUUCGAUUCAUUUCAAUGGGUCACUAAUGAGGGGGGUUCGAUUCAUUUCAAUGG
rnacentral:lncRNA from 1 species